rnacentral:rRNA from 1 species
GCGAGAAUCUUCCACAAUGGACGAAAGUCUGAUGGAGCGACGCCGCGUGAGUGAUGAAGGCCCUACGGGUUGUAAAACUCUGUCAGGAGAGAAGAAUCGCCGGGAUGCCAAUACCAUCCUGGUUUGACGUUAUCUCCAGAGGAAGCUCCGGCUAACUCCGUGCCAGCAGCCGCGGUAAUACGGGGGAGCAAGCGUUGUCCGGAAUUAUUGGGCGUAAAGGGCGUGUAGGCGGCUUGGUCAGUCGAAUGUGAAAUCCCACGGCUCAACCGUGGAAUUGCGUUCGAUACUGCCUGGCUUGAGUAUGUGAGAGGUGUGCGUAAGUUCCUGGUGUAGCGGUGGAAUGCGUAGAUAGUCAGGAAGAACACCGAUGGCGAAGGCAGCACACUGGCGCAAUACUGACGC